GAGGACUUUGAAAAUUUCUUCUUUUUCUUUGAGUCGUCAAAACUGCCAUCUUUGUACUUCCUCUUUCUUGAUUCCUUCACCCAACGUGGACAAUCAGCAAUGAAGGGACCAGAUUUCUUGCAUUUAUGGCACGUUCUUUUCUUGUAGUCCUUAGGUGAAGAUUCUAAUUUCCUCAUAUCUCUUCUUGAAUACUUCCCGAACUGGCCAC
rnacentral:lncRNA from 1 species